rnacentral:lncRNA from 1 species
CGAGCCGUACCACCAUUGAGGUGAGAAUCUGAACCUUCAUGGUAUGAGGUUUAUCCUUUUUGCUUGAACUAAUUGCAUGGUCUUUUGCUUGCAAGGAGCCUAUAAUGCUCGGAUUUUGGCCAACCUUGCUGAAUUCCUCCAAAAGGAGCUCCCAUCUUUGGAAGAUUGGGGGAGAUGGGGCUAGAGCUGAGGAAUAGUUCUAGGCAGUAAUAAAGUCCUUAAAGAAGGUAGAGCAUCGAGCUUACCUUGAAAGGAUAAGGGCUGAUAUUGUCGAGCUGAAGCUGAAGGCCGA